rnacentral:rRNA from 1 species
GAACGCUGGCGGCGUGCUUAACACAUGCAAGUCGUGCGCGAAGGUGACUUCGGUCGCCGGAGAGCGGCGGACGGGUGAGUAACACGUGGGUAAUCUGCCUAGGAGUGGGGAAUAACCUGGGGAAACUCGGGCUAAUACCGCAUACGUCGUCGGAACUGCGGUUCCGGCAAGAAAGCUGGCCUCUGCUUGCAUGCUAGCGCUCCUAGAGGAGCCCGCGGCUGAUUAGCUAGUUGGUGAGGUAAUGGCUCACCAAGGCGACGAUCAGUAGCCGGCCUGAGAGGGUGAACGGCCACACUGGGACUGAGACACGGCCCAGACUCCUACGGGAGGCAGCAGUGGGGAAUAUUGGACAAUGGGCGAAAGCCUGAUCCAGCAACGCCGCGUGGAGGACGAAGGUCUUCGGAUCGUAAACUCCUGUCAGACGGGACGAACGGACGUCGGUAAACAAUCGACGUCUUUGACGGUACCGUCAGAGGAAGCCCCGGCUAACUCCGUGCCAGCAGCCGCGGUAAUACGGAGGGGGCUAGCGUUAUUCGGAAUUAUUGGGCGUAAAGGGCGCGUAGGUGGCCCGGUAAGUCAAAGGUGAAAUCCCUCGGCUCAACCGAGGAAUUGCCCUUGAAACUGCUGGGCUUGAGGCCGGGAGGGGGUAGCGGAAUUCCCAGUGUAGCGGUGAAAUGCGUAGAUACUGGGAGGAACACCGGUGGCGAAGGCGGCUACCUGGACCGGUUCUGACACUGAUGCGCGAAAGCGUGGGUAGCAAACAGGAUUAGAUAC